GGGUUCGAUUCCGGGGAGGGAGCCUGAGAAACGGCUACCACAUCCAAGGAAGGCAGCAGGCGCGCAAAUUACCCAAUCCCAAUACGGGGAGGUAGUGACAAUAAAUAACAAUAUGGGGCUCUUACGGGUCUCGUAAUUGGAAUGAGUACAAUUUAAAUCUCUUAACGAGGAACAAUUGGAGGGCAAGUCUGGUGCCAGCAGCCGCGGUAAUUCCAGCUCCAAUAGCGUAUAUUAAAGUUGUUGCAGUUAAAAAGCUCGUAGUUGAAUUUCGGAGUUUGUCGGUUGGUCGGGCUUCACUGUCCGCACUGGCCUGAUGGAUUCCUACCUUCUGAAUAACCAGCAUGCUAUUAAGUUAGUGCGUUGGGGAAGCAGAGCUAUUACCUUGAAAAAAUUAGAGUGCUUAAAGCAGGCUUAUGCUUGAAUAGAUUAGCAUAGAAUAAUAAAAUAGGACGGCAUGGUUCUAUUUUGUUGGUUUCUAGGAUCACCGUAAUGAUUAAUAGGGAUAGUUGGGGGCAUUAGUAUUCAAUUGUCAGAGGUGAAAUUCUUGGAUUUAUUGAAGACUAACUUCUGCGAAAGCAUUUGCCAAGGAUGUUUUCAUUAAUCAAGAACGAAAGUUAGGGGAUCGAAGACGAUCAGAUACCGUCGUAGUCUUAACCAUAAACUAUGCCGACUAGGGAUCGGACGAUGUUAAUCUUUUAAUGACU
rnacentral:rRNA from 1 species